AACCGAUAAAGGCAAAUCCGUCAAAAGACGGAGACGCAAAGCUACCUGUCUAAACCCGUAAAAGGGCAUGGCAGAGGGGCUACCGAA
rnacentral:ncRNA from 1 species